rnacentral:ncRNA from 2 species
GAUUUACAAGGUGAUGGUGCUCCACCUUUCCCAACCGCCGGUUUUUCAACACCGGAUGAUGGCGCCUGAUAUACA